rnacentral:lncRNA from 1 species
UGUAGGCAGCUCUGUUUAGGCCUCAGGACCCAGCUCCAUCGCUUCUGCUGAUUCAGUUCCAGGUAGAAACAUGACCCCUCACCCCACUCUCAAGGGACAAAGCCAAUAAAGCUCUGCUGUUUGAUAUUUUGUUCCCUUCUCACUCUCUAAUAAAGACACACAGAAAGAGAACCUGAAACAUCAUUGAGAGCUGAAGUCACAAUUGGACCACAGCAACCAGAGCCAGGUAAGUUAAAUGAGCAGAAGCCAAAAUCUUUGCAGGAAGCAAUGAUCGGCAGAGAAAAUAAUGAUGCAGAUGAGUAAAAAGCAGAGAGAACAAUGCAGCCCUAGAAAAAGAGAUGGGUAGACCAGCUCCUGGACACUUGCUAGUGCCUUAAAACCUGGCUGUUCCCUCUCCUAAGUAAUCUGUGCUUGUAUAUGUCAUCUUCUAACUUUAAAAUCAGCUCCUCUUCUGCCUUGUACUUGAGCCAAUUUGAGGGACUAUCUGUGCUUUGCAACCCUCGGAGCAGUGGAAUUACAAUCUUCUGCAAGGAGCUCACAAGCCAAGGCAGAAGGAUACAUCCAAGUGAAUGGCUACAGCACCUACUGAACAGAAAGGAAAAGGCUAGAUUCUUGAUAAAGGGCAGAACCAACAAGAUUUAUGAAAAUUAAA